UCUCUGAAGACGGUGUUGGGAGAUUGGACCAACCACUCCACACAAGAUCCUAGGCAGCCUAGCAACUACAAAAGGUGGCGCACAUUUCUGUGUCUAUUCGGGGUCUCAACCCGCACUUGGAGCAGGUUUAUGACGUUUAUGUAUGAAAUUGCCAAUGUGAAAACUGUCUUAAGGCUCAUUUAGUCUCGCAGUUCACAGGGGUCCCGCGACCGACUGUCAUUAGCGAGUAAGCAGUGUCUCACGACAACCGAUGUUAGCGCCAGAAAAAGUGAUUCCUCGUACCGCUAUAUGUCCACGUAAAAUAGGGGCCAACCUAUGCUGACGUCUUGUUUCUGCAUAUCGAAUGCUCCAAGGGCUUCGCAAUCGCAGUCACGCGACUAAAGGAACCUAAACAGUGAGCGACUGGCCCUAAAUAGUCGCUACUCGAUGCAUUGCGACCAACAUGGGCAUGUGAUCCCUGCGUGUCGUUGAUGUGAAGGAGACCUUUGAUAUAUUUCAUUUCGACGGUCUCGGAGAGCUUCCUAAAGCACACAGGAUCCCUGUGUGUUUCCGUGUGUAAUACUUCACUUUCGCUUACUUUUUCAGAUAUACAGAACGUCAUGGGAAGAAAAACCACUUUACGCUCGAUACGAUGGCCACAGCGUAAGACGCUCCGGCGCCAUCAAUCGCAGCAGCGUUAUUUCUGAGUGUACAUUCUAAUAAAAGCGUAUAAUCCUAAUGACAUAAUCCCUAGACGUCGCAAUGUGUUGACUGA
rnacentral:lncRNA from 1 species